rnacentral:rRNA from 1 species
GGUUAAGUUAAUAAGGGCGCACGGUGGAUGCCUUGGCACUAGAAGCCGAAGAAGGACGUGACUAACGACGAAAUGCCUUGGGGAGCUGUAAGUAAGCAAUGAUCCAGGGAUGUCCGAAUGGGGGAACCCGGCAGGUAAUACCUGUCACUCACUACUGUUAAGGUAGUGAAGAGGAAGACGCAGUGAACUGAAACAUCUAAGUAGCUGCAGGAAGAGAAAGCAAAAGCGAUUGCCUUAGUAGCGGCGAGCGAAACGGCAGGAGGGCAA